rnacentral:rRNA from 1 species
UACGUAGGGUGCAAGCGUUGUCCGGAAUUAUUGGGCGUAAAGAGCUCGUAGGCGGUCUGUCGCGUCGGCUGUGAAAACCCGGAGCUCAACUCCGGGCCUGCAGUCGAUACGGGCAGACUGGAGUUCGGCAGGGGGGACUGGAAUUCCUGGUGUAGCGGUGAAAUGCGCAGAUAUCAGGAGGAACACCGGUGGCGAAGGCGGGUCUCUGGGCCGAUACUGACGCUGAGGAGCGAAAGCGUGGGGAGCGAACAGG